CAGUGGGGAAUUUUGGACAAUGGGCGCAAGCCUGAUCCAGCCAUUCCGCGUGAGUGAAGAAGGCCUUCGGGUUGUAAAGCUCUUUCGCAAGGGAAGAAAACUUACAUUCUAAUAAAGUGUGAGGCUGACGGUACCUUGAUAAGAAGCACCGGCUAACUACGUGCCAGCAGCCGCGGUAAUACGUAGGGUGCGAGCGUUAAUCGGAAUUACUGGGCGUAAAGCGUGCGCAGGCGGUUUGGCAAGUCAGAUGUGAAAUCCCCGAGCUCAACUUGGGAACUGCGUUUGAAACUGCCAGACUAGAAUAUGUCAGAGGGGGGUAGAAUUCCACGUGUAGCAGUGAAAUGCGUAGAGAUGUGGAGGAAUACCAAUGGCGAAGGCAGCCCCCUGGGAUAAUAUUGACGCUCAUGCACGAAAGCGUGGGGAGCAAACAGGAUUAGA
rnacentral:rRNA from 1 species